AUCUUCCGCAAUGGACGAAAGUCUGACGGAGCAACGCCGCGUGAGUGAUGAAGGCUUUCGGGUCGUAAAACUCUGUUGUUAGGGAAGAACAAGUGCUAGUUGAAUAAGCUGGCACCUUGACGGUACCUAACCAGAAAGCCACGGCUAACUACGUGCCAGCAGCCGCGGUAAUACGGAGGGGGCAAGCGGUAACCGGAAUUAUUGGGCGUAAAGCGCGCGCAGGUGGUUUCUUAAGUCUGAUGUAAAAGGCCACGGCUCAACCGUGGAGGGACAUUGGAAACUGGGAGACUUGAGUGCAGAAGAGGAAAGUGGAAUUACAUGUGUAGCGGUGAAAUGCGUAGAGAUAUGGAGGAACACCAGUGGCGAAGGCGACUUUCUGGUCUGUAACUGACACUGAGGCGCGAAAGCGUGGGGAGCAAACAG
rnacentral:rRNA from 1 species